AAUAGAUACCCCGGUAGUCCACGCCGUAAACGAUGGAUGCUAGCUAUUGGGGGGAAUCGACCCCCUCCGAAGCGAAGCUAACGCGUUAAGCAUCCCGCCUGAGUAGUACGAGCGCAAGCUUAAAACUCAAAGGAAUUGACGGGGACCCGCACAAGCGGUGGAGCGUGUGGUUUAAUUCGAUGGUAAACGAAGAACCUUACCAAGGUUUGACAUCCCGGUAGCCGUUCUCCGAAAGGAGAAUUUCAUUUAGUUGGACCGGUGACAGGUGAUGCAUGGCCGUCGUCAGCUCGUGUCGUGAGAUGUUGGGUUAAGUCCCGCAACGAGCGCAACCCUUAUGAUUUAGUUGGAUUUUUCUAAACAGACUACCCUGGUAACAGGGAGGAAGGAGGGGAUGAUGUCAGGUCAGUAUUUCCCUUACACCUUGGGCGACACACGCGCUACAAUGGCCGGUACAAUGGGCAGCUAAGCCGCGAGGUGGAGCAAAUCCCAUCAAAGCCGGUCCCAGUUCGGAUUGCAGGCUGAAACCCGCCUGCAUGAAGCCGGAAUCGCUAGUAACC
rnacentral:rRNA from 1 species